AUUUUUUCAAGUGGAGGUGUGGAUGAAAACAUAGUCUCUAGUGCCCCCCAGGGGUCGGUGGAGCCAGAGGUUGAAAACCACCAUUCCACAGGAAGCAGCUGCUGUCUCCCUCAUGCCUAGCAGUUGCACAGAUGAGAGAUGCUAUAUAAUUUGAGAGCUGACCAGUACAGACACCCAGUGACUACACAUCUUCAUGUAUUUUUUCAUUUACUUUUUUGUCAUAAUUACAAAUAUAAUAGCUCAGUGAAAAAAACUGCAGGACAACUACAGAGCAGAAGAAGUUGCAAAACAAAUUACAAUAAUUCAAAAGCACUUCCUUUACUGUAUUUGAUUCCUUUAAUACUGCAACACUGAAAGAUCCAGACUAACAUGGCUACCCCUCUGAUACUUGACAGUUCUACCCAGGUUGUCUGCAGGUGGAAUGGUUGGAGCAGUGAAAAAUACCCAGCAGAAGAGAAGGAAAAAAGAAACAAAGUGUCGGAACUGGCUUUCAAAACAAAACAAACAACAACAAAAAUCCAGACUCUGGAAGAUUCAGGGAACACAAAGGAUGAUGUAAUGAGUGAGGGGAACCUUUUGACUGCUUGACCUGGCCAGACUGAGGGAUGCUUGUUUCAGGAAUCAGAGGAGACUCCGUGCGCAGGAAGAGAGGAUGAGGACAGGGAGUGGGGUCCACAAGAUGCACCAAAGGCAGUGACCAAAACUCAAAGAAUGCUCAAGAGUAGCAAGGACUCUGAAGGUGGGAAUUGUGUAUAUGUGUUUCUUAUUUUGCCUAGAUCUGUGUAUUUCCUGUACUUUGUCUAUAAGUAAAUGAGUGAUGAUUGGUUUAGAAAUUC